GGAGCAAUCCGCAAGUACAGUGGCGCACGGGUGAGUAACACGUGGAUAACCUGCCCUGGAGUGGGGGAUAACAUCUCGAAAGGGGUGCUAAUACCGCAUAACACUUUAGCUGGGAGGCAGAGGUUAAAAGGAGCGAUCUGCUCCGGGAGGGGUCCGCGGCUGAUUAGCUAGUAGGUGGGGUAAGAGCCCACCUAGGCGACGAUCAGUAGCCGUCCUGAGAGGGAGCACGGCCACACUGGAACUGAGACACGGUCCAGACUCCUACGGGAGGCAGCAGUGGGGAAUUUUUGGCAAUGGGGGAAACCCUGACCAAGCAACGCCGCGUGGGUGAUGAAGUAUUUUGGUACGUAAAACCCUUUCGGCAGGGACGAAGCGAGUGACGGUACCUGCGGAAGAAGCUCCGGCCAACUCCGUGCCAGCAGCCGCGGUAAUACGGGGGGAGCAAGCGUUGUUCGGAAUUACUGGGCGUAAAGGGCGCGUAGGCGGCCGGACAAGUAAGUGGUGAAAUCCCCGGGCUCAACUUGGGGCCUGCCAUUUAAACUGUCUGGCUGGAGUGCAGGAGAUGGCAGCGGAAUUCCUGGUGUAGCGGUGAAAUGCGUAUAGAUCAAGAGGAACACCGGCGGCGAAGGCGGCUGCCUGGACUGCGACUGACGCUGAGGCGCGAAAGCUAGGGGAGCAAACAGGAUUAGAUACCCUGGUAGUCCUAGCCCUAAACGAUGGAUACUUGCUGUGGGGGAGUCAAAUCCUCUGUGGCGGCGCUAACGCAUUAAGUAUCCCGCCUGGGGAGUACGGUCGCAAGGCUGAAACUCAAAGGAAUUGACGGGGGCCCGCACAAGCGGUGGAGUAUGUGGUUCAAUUCGACGCAACGCGAAGAACCUUACCUGGGCUUGAACUGGAGAAGAAGUUGGCAGAGAUGUCAAUGUCCUUUACCGGACUUCUCUAGAGGUGCUGCAUGGCUGUCGUCACCUCGUGUCGUGAGAUGUCGGGUUAAGUCCCGCAACGAGCGCAACCCUUGUUCCUAGUUGCUAACG
rnacentral:rRNA from 1 species